UACGAAGGGGGCUAGCGUUGCUCGGAAUUACUGGGCGUAAAGGGCGCGUAGGCGGCGCGGCUAGUCAGGCGUGAAAUUCCUGGGCUUAACCUGGGGGCUGCGCUUGAUACGGGCGUGCUAGAGGAUGGGAGAGGCUCGUGGAAUUCCCAGUGUAGAGGUGAAAUUCGUGGAUAUUGGGAAGGAGGGCUGGGGCGGAGGCGGCGAGCUGGUCCAUUACUGACGGUGAGGCGCGACAGCGUGGGGAGCAAACAGG
rnacentral:rRNA from 1 species